CAGUCUUUAUAAAUACAAGAUUAAGAAAAGAUAUACAGUUAUAUGAAAUGUUUAUUUUAUAUGUGUGUGCAUAUAGUUCAGUAUUAUGCAAUAAAUUUGGUGUUUUAACUUAAAACUGUUUCUCAUUGUAUUUGCAGAAUGGACAGCUUGCUCUAAGUAGAUGCAUUAGGUUAUUUACCCAGAUAAACUACAAGAAGGUCAAAUUUGGUUCCUGCCAUAAGAAAGUAGACCCAAGAGCUACAGAAAUGGAGAGGAAACCGAGGCAGUUAGCGUGGAGGAGGGUGGGCUUUCUCACGGUUGUGCUGAGUAGGAAAGCAAUUCCCAGAGAAGAGAGAGGCUCUAGCAAAGGUUCAGGCGAGGAUAUUUAGGGAGGAGGUCUUUGGCAGCUUGAAGGGAGCGUCAGAGAAGACGGAGUGAUGGCAAAUACAGUGGGGGUGGCAGGGAGAAGAUAGAUUUGGAUCUGAAGAACCAGGCUUCGGAUUAGUGGAUAGGAUUUGUUCAGGAAUUCAGAAGGUGAGGCGAUAGGGCUAGAGUCUGGCUCUGAGGAGGAAAAUGUAUAAUAGUAUAUAUUUAGAGGAAUUGGAAUGGGAAGCGCUGCAGCAGAAAGACAGGAGCUCAAAACAGUGGUGGUAGCAGCCGUGGAAUUAGAAAACAACAGAUGGACAGGAGAGAAGCAGGGAAAUAAAGGCAAAUCAGACUUGUUUCCAUGAUGAAAGCCUCUUCCGAAUGCCCCGAGUGCGUGAACACAGCAGAGUACCUCCAGUACAUUUAUAAAACGUGUGUGAUGCAUUGUUUUGCCAGAUUAAUAGGGGUUUAAAAGUAGUAAAGAGAAUGGUAACUUUCUAAUAAUAAGCUCUUCAACAAACCUACAUAAAUAACUCACAUAACCCAAAAGUUGAAGAGCGAAGAAAUCUCCUCUUAAUUUUGUAUAAAAAUAGCCAAGUUACCUUAAAUAACUUGGAGGCCUCAUCCAUGCAAUAAAGAGAUUGGACCAGAUAAUUUCUAAGCUUCCUUUGAAUUUACAGCUCUAGAAUUCUAUUACUGACAACAGUACCUGCACAUAGAAACCCCCAAUAAAUAUUUGUUAUAUGAAAUUCUCUACUGCUUCUAAAACACUGGUUUUUCUGGAGUAGUUUCCUUUUCCCCUUUUAUCACUUGUGCUUUGGAGACUCCACUUUUAUAGAUAAUCUAGAUUUCCUACAAAUCCAUUUCUGGAUUUAACUUUUCCCCCUAUGAACCUUUGGAUAGCCAGCCCUUCACUGGCCUGAUCACUUAGCAAUUUAAGGAAAUCCUUUGGCAAUUUUUUUGGUAGGUAAGGUUCAAUGAAAAUGUAACUAGACAAUUUAGUUCCACCCAUGCCGUGUGAAAGUCCUUUGAUGACUUGUGUGGUAUUCUAUUAGUAAUUGUAGAAAUCAAGGGCUAGCAAACUACAGCCCUUGUUACAGUUUGCAGUUUUAAAAGGGUUGAAAAAUAUUUAAAAAGAAGAAGGAUAGAGACUAUCUGGCUUACCAAACCUAGCACAUUAAUAUCUAGUACUUUACAGGAAAAAAAGAAUAGGCCAAUCUCUCUAAAAUCAGACUUACAGGAAUUAUAACAGAGUGGACAACCUUUUCUUGGAAUGAACUUGUCAUAAUUUGAUGCUGAACCAGAGAAGACCAUUGUUUGGGCUUUUCUGCCAUAAAGGUAAGAAAAUUAUGUUUUGUCUAAGAUUAAUGCACAGAAAUGGAUAUUAAGAUUCUGAUUUUAGUAAUAACCUGCACUGAUUGCGUGCUGUGUGCCAGGUUCUGUGUCCAUACUUACAAUUCACUGUCCAGUUUAAUUGCCACCACAGCCCUCUGGCUCUGCUGUUUAUUAGCUGUGUGGCCUUGGAAAGGUUUCCUAAUCUUUUUCAUUUUCCUAAUCUGCUUCAUUUUCUUCCAGUUCAAGAUGGGGACAGAAAUAUUACCUUACCUCAUGGAAUUGUUACAAAGAUUAAAUGAAUUAAUUCAUACAAAUUACAUUUCUAUACCUAGCACAUAAUAAGCCUCAAUAAUUAUGAUUAUCACUGUUAUUCCAGUUUUUUACCUGAAUAUAACUUGCUCAUUAUCACACAGUGGUUUGCCCUGGACUUGACCAUAACCUGUAUUAUGCCCAGCUACUAGGUUGGGGCAGUACAUUUAACUGAGGCUGCCCAGUGGUCCAUAAAAAGGAACAUCGUGAUGUGGCAGGUGACUUCGGAGAGCACACAAAGACAUCACAGUCUGAUCAAGGAUCCCACAUUGCAUUCAGCUCAACAGGAUUUUAGGGAUUCCAAAGUUAUUGUUGCUGGACUUCAAGAUGAGACUCGUUACCUCAGAGCUGAGCCCAGCACCAUUUUCUGUGAAGGAUUUACUGCGUGAUCAUUUCACAGUCAUCCAUGUGCAUCCCCACAAUGACCCUAUCAGAUGAUUCCGUUCAUGUGGAGACUGCAGUUCAUCAACCUGUACAAUCAGUGUGGACAAGUGUCACCUGACACCAAAGCAGGACUGGAUUUAGGCAGCAGUGGAGAUUUUCCCUUGAAGGACUGGUGUGAUGGCUGUACUUCAACGAAGAACACGAUGAGCAGGCCCCCCAGGAGGAGAGCUGGCUGCCCACGUUUCUGCAGCGAUGCCAGGGUGAUGUGAAGUGGGGGUCCUCUCACCUGGUCCUGCUACUCCGUAUCUCCCAGUCAUGGGGACAGACGCGUGUGUUAAUAACACAGAAUGCACAGGGAGGGCUGGGGUGUUAAAGACAGAAGCUACAAGUCAUCUGUUUGAGAACUGCACUAGAAGGGUACAAAGUGAUGGGAAGAGUCACGGUCCCCUCAUUAGGUCAGGCAAGGCAAGGCUGGAUGUAAAAUGCACGGCACAGUGGGAGCCGGGCCGUGAACAGUGGCUCUUGCUGUGGUGCUAUUGCCCCCUAGGUGACAUUCGGACUGUUCUGGAGACAUUUCGGGUGGUUGCACCCUGUUGGCAGUGAGCGAGUGGAUGGAGGCCAGGGGUGCCCGUAAGCAGCUUGUGAAGGAAGGCAACACCCCAGCAGUGCGCUCGCCCAGUGCCGACUGUACAAGCCUGAGAUGCCUGCUGCGUGAAGGAUAAACUCAGUCUGCGGACAGUGGCACCAGCAAGGACCCGGAGAGGGUGGAGCGCCUCUGCUGUCCACAGUGAAGAAGGGACUGUCCUAGCUAAAGCCUUCUAGAGGCCGGCUGAGCAGGGACACCGAGAGCUGCUCUGAGGUCGGGCCGGGACUGUGGAAGGGGCAGUGGUGAGCGCAUGCAGUGCUCUCAGGGCGAGGCGUGUGUGCACCUGUGCUGCUCCACAGGGCCGGACCAGGCCCGCUGGGCCGCGUGUAACACACUGGCAAGAAUGAUACACGUAAUGAUCUAAAAUUUUCACUGUGGUAUUUCAUAUUUAUCACUCACAUUUUCUAAAAUUGCUUCCUCCAUCUCCCAGAGUGCUGGGGAUAUGGGCAUGUGGGUUUUACAAUUUUUACUUUCUAGCUAUUACUGCUACUCAGCCCAGGGAGUGAGUGGCCUCCCCUCCCCAUGCUGUAAAGGGGACCCCUCACGGGGACAGUCACUGAGUUCUGUCAGAGGGAUGUUAGAGCAGUGGACAAGAGAACUGACCAGGUUUCUUAGGCCUGAAAAUCUAGGGCUUCAGAAUUUGCACUGGCUCUGUUUCGUACGCAGUAAAAACAGGGAUGGGUUUUAAUGAAGCUUCUUAGACAAGUUUUAAAUUGUAUCCCAUUUGCCGAAAGUUACUAAAGUACAAACAUAGGGUAAUAAGCUUGGCCAGUUGGAACGAAAAGAACCAGGAAACAACACCAUUUACAAAAGCAAUGUAAUCAUUUCAGAAUUAUCUGAAAUUGUGAUCAAGAUGUGGCCAGAUAAUAAGCCAGGGCCAAAACAUUCUUAUGGGAAAAAAGGCUAAUGGAUAAGAAUGGGAAGAAUAUGUUAUAAAAAGAGUACCACUGGGGUAUCCAGUCAUCUCAUCCCUUCAACUGUGGUAUUUUAAUUCUUGUGUGAAAUUACCUGCCAAAAUUUCUGCUUUCAUCGACGUAAAGGCUUAUUGUAAGAAAACAGCUUGGGUUUUUUGGUUUUUGUUUUUCUGGUAUGUGUGUGUGUGUGUGUGUGUGUGUGUGUGUGUGUGUGCGUGUGCACUCGCGUGCGUGCAAGAACUUGGGCCUCAUGCAUGCUAGGCAAGCACUGAGCUACAUUCCUACCCCCAAUCGUUUUUAGUACCGGGAAAUGAAACCAGGGCCUUUGCACUGAGCUACAUCCCAAGCUCUUUUUAAAAAGCU